rnacentral:rRNA from 1 species
UACGGAGGGUGCAAGCGUUUUUCGGAAUCAUUGGGCGUAAAGCGCGUGUAAGCGGCUAUCUAAGUCUGAUGUGAAAGCCCGGGGCUUAACCCCGGAAGUGCAUUGGAUACUGGAUGGCUAGAGGACGAGAGAGGGAAGUGGAAUUCCUGGUGUAGGGGUGAAAUCCGUAGAUAUCAGGAGGAACAUCGGAGGCGAAGGCGGCUUCCUGGCUCGUUUCUGACGCUGAGACGCGAAAGCGCGGGGAGCAAACAGG